rnacentral:misc_RNA from 1 species
GUGAAUCAUCGAAUUUUUGAACGCAAAUUGCACUUCCUGGUAUUCCGGAAAGCAUGCCUGUUUGAGGGUCAGUUAAAAAAAAAUCCGCGUUAUUUCUUUCAAUGGUAAUGCAUAGGAGUUGAGUCGUCUGUACUUUUGGUUUUAAGUGACUUAAAAUAAUGUACGAUUUCUGAAGGUAUUUAAUUUAUUGAA